UUCUACUCAUCAAUUUUUUGUGCCAACGACAUGCUCUGAAUUGGAACCAGUAUCCCGCUCUGUUUCUUAUGCCCCAAACUAGAACCAGUAUAUGGUUCAACUCCAAUGAGAUCUGUUACGGGUUUUUGACGAUAAAAAUGGCGAGACUAGUUAUUGCUUGUAGCAGCGGAGAUGGUAGCGUGACUGGAGGUGUCGUGUGGAGGCAGGGGGGGAGGAAUGAAAAAGCAGAGGUGAACAAAUGAAGAUGCUGUGCACGUUGCUUGCUGGGCUUUGUUUACUUUUUCCAAUCGCGAUGGAUUAUAUUGACGAGGACGACGGUGGCGAGGAUUGUGGACAGGGAGAGGGAGGAAAAGUUUUGGGUUUUUCUUUUCUAAUUUAUAAUUUGAGCUAACUUUAUCUUGUCUUUUUGUAUUUAAAUAAAAAGAAAAGGUUUGUAAUU